AAGGUGGUGAAGCAAUUGAUGCCCCGCUUCCAGGAAAAGCCUCUAAGCUUCAGGUUACCAACAAUCGUACCCCAAACCGACACAGGUGGUCAGGUAGAGAAUACUCAGGCGCUUGAGAGAACUCGGGUGAAGGAACUAGGCAAAAUGGUGCCGUAACUUCGGGAGAAGGCACGCUGGCGGUAGGUAAAGUCCCUUGCGGACGGCGCUGAAGCCAGUCGAAGAUACCAGCUGGCUGCAACUGUUUAUUAAAAACACAGCACUGUGCAAACACGAAAGUGGACGUAUACGGUGUGACGCCUGCCCGGUGCUGGAAGGUUAAUUGAUGGGGUCAGCCG
rnacentral:rRNA from 1 species